CACAGGUGGAAAUGAUGCCUGAGGGCUUUUCCUGCUCAGGAAAGUUCAAGCCAACACAGAAACGGGUGGCACCAGGAAAACAGAGCUGUGAUGAGUAAACAGGGAAUGCCACCAGAGCUCUGCCCAUGUGCUUCAGUGGCUCUUGGGACCCUGUCUGACUCCAAUAAUUAUCCUUCCUACUGUGUCCUUUCAGGCAAUAUCAUUCCUCCUUUAUCGGUGCCUUUCAUGGCUCUCUCCUUCAGCUGCAGGAUGGAGAAAGCUCUGUGAAGUCCUUGAGGAAGUAACACUUAUGGCCUGGUUUGUCACUGAGAAAAAAAUUGCUCAAUCAAAAAAUCUGUACACAACAUGUUGUGGCCAUUGGAAGGGAAAAUUGAAUCCUGCAGCUGCUGGAAUGUACCCCCUUGGAUCAAGUGGGCUCUCCUGAAGGGCCAGGGAAAAGCCUCUUCCCUGGGAUCCACUGGCCCUCAGCUGGAGCUUUCAGCAGGCAGCAGAGGCAGCAGCUGUGCACCAGAGAGGUGGGACGGGGAAGCCACCCUGGGACCACUGUGGAACUGCACAAACCCCAUCAAACCCAAAAAGCCACAGGAAGACUCAGGACUCAGGAGCAACUAUGGCUUGCAAGGAAAUCCCCAAGGGCAGGAAUUUGACUGAAAGUGCUUUGUUUCCUCUGCCUCUUGUGUUGUUCUUGUUCACAGUUCUCUGAUCCUGUGAUCUAAGUUUUACAAUAAACUUUCCCUUUACAGUGUGUGUUUCUUGGAUUACCUCUGACAUCCCUACUGCAAGGGAAGG